rnacentral:tRNA from 1 species
GGGCCUAUAGCUCAGUCGGUUAGAGCGUUCCCUGAUAAGGAAGAGGUCGCUGGUUCGAGUCCAGCUAGGCCCA